AGUGAACGCUGGCGGUAGGCCUAACACAUGCAAGUCGAACGGCAGCACAGUAAGAGCUUGCUCUUACGGGUGGCGAGUGGCGGACGGGUGAGGAAUACAUCGGAAUCUACUUUUUCGUGGGGGAUAACGUAGGGAAACUUACGCUAAUACCGCAUACGACCUACGGGUGAAAGCAGGGGAUCUUCGGACCUUGCGCGAUUGAAUGAGCCGAUGUCGGAUUAGCUAGUUGGCGGGGUAAAGGCCCACCAAGGCGACGAUCCGUAGCUGGUCUGAGAGGAUGAUCAGCCACACUGGAACUGAGACACGGUCCAGACUCCUACGGGAGGCAGCAGUGGGGAAUCUUGGACAAUGGGCGCAAGCCUGAUCCAGCCAUACCGCGUGGGUGAAGAAGGCCUUCGGGUUGUAAAGCCCUUUUGUUGGGAAAGAAAAGCAGCAGGUUAAUCCACCGCUGUUCUGACGGUACCCAAAGAAUAAGCAACGGCUAACUUCGUG
rnacentral:rRNA from 1 species